CCCUUAGAUGUCCUGGGCCGCACGCGCGCUACACUGAGUGUCUGAGAUACGAGUCUGCCUGGUCCGGCAAGGUCUAGGUAAUCGCUAAAAGACACAUCAUGCUUGGGAUAGAUUAUUGCAAAUAUUAAUCUUGAACGAGGAAUUCCUAGUAAGCGCAAGUCAACAGCUUGCGUUGAUUACGUCCCUGCCCUUUGUACACACCGCCCGUCGCUACUACUGAUUGGAUGUUUAAGCGAGGUUCUCGAACUGCUAGCGACUUAGCUUCGGUGAGGUCGCAGUUUGGGAAGUGAACCUAGCUUUGGUGUCUAGAGGAAGUAAAAGUCGUAACA
rnacentral:rRNA from 1 species